AUGCCGGAAGACGACGCGUCCUUCCUCCUGUGCGCCGAGGACGCCUUCUUCUUUGUCGACGCCGCCACCGCCAGCACCUGCACCACCGCCGAGCAGAUCGGUGGCUGGUGCUCCGGCGCCGAGGAGGAGUCGGCGGCGGCCUCCUUCGUGGCCGAGCUCAUCGGCGGCGAGGCCGACUACUCGCCCCGGUCCGACUACUCCGACCGGCUCCGGUCGCGGUCCGUCGACCCCGCCGCCCGGGCCGACUCUGUUGCAUGGACUCUCAAGGUGCAAGAGUACUACGGAUUCCUUCCCUUGACGGCCUACCUCGCCGUGAACUACAUGGACCGGUUCCUCUCCCUCCACCGGCUGCCGGUAAGCUCGCCGCCCGGCGCCCGCCGUCCUCGCCCCGCCACGUCACCAACCCUCAACACACACAUCUCACCAUGUCAGACAACCAUGUCACGCGCGUAUCAGAUAACCAGCUUGUGCUCUGUAUCUUUCGCCAUGCAGGAGGAUGGAUGGGCAAUGCAGCUGCUAGCUGUGACCUGCCUCUCCUUGGCUGCCAAGAUGGAGGAGACCCUGGUGCCCUCCCUCCUAGACCUUCAGAUAGAGAGCACAAGAUACAUCUUCGAGCCGAGAACGAUCCUUCGAAUGGAGCUUCUCGUCCUCACGGCGCUCAACUGGAGGCUCCGAUCGGUCACGCCGUUCACAUUCAUCGACUUCUUCGCUUGCAAAGUUGACCCGAGAGGGAGGCACAUGAGAUACCUGAUCGCCCGAGCCACACAAAUUAUUUUAGCUGCGAUACAUGACAUCGAGUUCUUGGACCACUGCCCGUCGUCGAUGGCUGCCGCGGCGGUGCUGUGCGCCGCCGGUGAGACGCCGUCCCUCACAUUGCUCAACCCUAGGCUUGCAGUCAAUUGGUGCAUUGGCCUAGCAGAGGAAGGGGUGAGCAGCUGCUACCAACUAAUGCAGCAGCUGGUGGGUGGAAAGAGGGCAAAAACCACAGCAGCAGCGGCAGUUAACCUGUGCUCAGACGAGGUUCUGUCCUGUGAUUCCUCCUCCUGCACCACCCCACCCCCACCCAAGAGGAGGAAGAGGUCACCUCCACCGGUCAUCACAUGA
rnacentral:rRNA from 1 species